rnacentral:rRNA from 1 species
CAGUAGCCGCGGUAAUACGGAGGGUGCAAGCGUUAAUCGGAAUUACUGGGCGUAAAGCGCACGCAGGCGGUUUGUUAAGUCAGAUGUGAAAUCCCCGAGCUUAACUUGGGAACUGCAUUUGUGACUGUAUAGCUAGAGUACGGCAGAGGGGGAUGGAAUUCCGCGUGUAGCAGUGAAAUGCGUAGAUAUGCGGAGGAACACCGAUGGCGAAGGCAAUCCCCUGGGCCUGUACUGACGCUCAUGCACGAAAGCGUGGGGAGCAAACAGGAUUAGAUACCCCGGUAGUCCCUGUCUCUUAUAC